rnacentral:lncRNA from 1 species
CAUCUCUACCACCACCCUGAACAAGAGACGAUAGAGGAGACGAGGUCCCUGCAGCUCACUGUGUCCAGCUGGGCCCAGGACUCUGCCUCUUGGAGUUUGGUAGCUACUUCUUGAUUUGGGCCUGGUGACCCACCUGGAAUGGGAAGGAUGUCAGCUGACCUCUCACCUCCCAUGGACAGAGAAGAAAAUGACCAGGAGUGUCAUCUCCAGAAUUAUUGGGGUCACAUAUGUCCCUUCCCAGUCCAAUGCCAUCUCCCACUAGAUCCUGUAUUAUCCAUCUACAUCAGAACCAAACUACUUCUCCAACACCCGGCAGCACUUGGCCCUGCAAGCUUAGGAUGAGAACCACUUAGUGUCCCAUUCUACUCCUCUCAUUCCCUCUUAUCCAUCUGCAGGUGAAUCUUCAAUAAAAUGCUUUUGUCAUUC